UACCGGCGCCUCAAGUGGUAGUCGAUUUUAUUGGGCCUAAAGCAUCCGUAGCCUGUUCUAUAAGUUUGCGGUUAAAUCUAUACGCUCAACGUAUAGGCUGCUGUAAAUACUGUAGAACUAGGGAGUGGGUGAGGUAGACGGUACUCGGUAGGAAGGGGUAAAAUCCUUUGAUCUAUCGAUGACCACCUGUGGCGAAGGCGGUCUACCAGAACACGCUCGACGGUGAGGGAUGAAAGCUGGGGGAGCAAACCGG
rnacentral:rRNA from 1 species